rnacentral:rRNA from 1 species
GUUGAACGCUGGCGGAAUGCUUUACACAUGCAAGUCGAACGGCAGCACGGACUUCGGUCUGGUGGCGAGUGGCGAACGGGUGAGUGAUGUAUCGGAACGUGCCCAGUCGUGGGGGAUAACGUAGUGAAAAUUACGCUAAUACCGCAUACGAUCUAUGGAUGAAAGCGGGGGAUCGCAAGACCUCGCGCGAUUGGAGCGGCCGAUAUCAGAUUAGGUAGUUGGUGGGGUAAAGGCCCACCAAGCCAACGAUCUGUGGCUGGUCUGAGAGGACGACCAGCAACACUUGAGCUGAGACGCGGUCCAGACUCCUACGGGAGGCAGCAGUGGGGAAUUUUGGACAAUGGGCGAAAGCCUGAUCCAGCCAUUCCGCGUGCAGGAUGAAGGCCCUCGGGUUGUAAACUGCUUUUGUACAGAACGAAAAGGUUUCUACUAAUACUAGGAGCUCAUGACGGUACUGUAAGAAUAAGCACCGGCUAACUACGUGCCAGCCGCCGCAGUAA